rnacentral:rRNA from 1 species
AAGGCUUGACAUACGCAGAAAACCGGCAGAGAUGUCGGGUCCGCAAGGGCUGCGUACAGGUGGUGCAUGGUUGUCGUCAGCUCGUGUCGUGAGAUGUUGGGUUAAGUCCCGCAACGAGCGCAACCCUUAUUCGAUGUUGCCAGCACGUAAUGGUGGGGACUCAUCGGAGACUGCCGGGGUCAACUCGGAGGAAGGUGGGGACGAGGUCAAAUCAUCAUGCCCCUUAUGUCUUGGGCUUCACGCAUGCUACAAUGGCCGGUACAAAGGGCUGCGAAACCGCAAGGUGGAGCGAAUCCCAAAAAGCCGGUCUCAGUUCGGAUCGGGGUCUGCAACUCGACCCCGUGAAGUCGGAGUCGCUAGUAAUCGCAGAUCAGCAACGCUGCGGUGAAUACGUUCCCGGGCC